GGCAUUUCUGGGCAGAUCACUUAAGAAAAACGUGUGCUGGGCAAGGAAAAAGCCUUGCUGAUUCCUCUCAUUCUGUGCUGGUGGACCUACCGAUGCUCCUUAGGUGAGAAAUAUUGGCUGUGCCUUAGUUUAAGGAACUGAGUAGUCCGAGACACAAAACCCACAGAGAAGAGGUGACCGAGCUCUGGCUGCCUUGAGGGAAUGCUCCGUGCCUUCUCAGUCACAGCUCUCCAGCCUCUGCAGAAGUCUGCUUUCCAUCUGCCUCCAGAACAAACAGCCACGGGCCAUGUAGUAGCUACCAACUCCAGUCCUGCAUGGGAGUGACUCAUGUCACAGAGAAGGGCUUUUGAUCAGUCUACAGCCUCCUGGAAGCCUUAAGAGCCCAGUCCAGAAGAGCAUGAUCGUUUGGCUUCUUGACAUCCCUCCAUCACCUAAGCACAGUACCGGGCUCACGGAAGGUGGAUACUGAAUGAAAAGGACAAAAAUACAUUUGAAUGCAUUUAUUUAGGGCAAAAAGUGGUGACAAGCAGACAGUAUUGAAUUCCGAUGUCCCUUGAAUGAAC
rnacentral:lncRNA from 1 species